rnacentral:rRNA from 1 species
GUAGUCCUAGCCGUAAACGAUGCAUACUAGAUGUAGGAAGGCUCAACCCUUUCUGUAUCGGAGCUAACGCGUUAAGUAUGCCGCCUGGGGAGUACGCUCGCAAGGGUGAAACUCAAAAGAAUUGACGGGGGCCCGCACAAGCAGUGGAGCAUGUGGUUUAAUUCGAUGCAACGCGAAGAACCUUACCUGGGCUCGAAAUGUAGAGGACUAUGCAAGAGAUUGCAUAUCCCGAAAGGGUCUCUAUAUAGGUGCUGCAUGGCUGUCGUCAGCUCGUGCCGUGAGGUGUUUGGUUAAGUCCAGCAACGAGCGCAACCCUUAUCGUUAGUUGCCAGCGCGUAAUGGCGGGAACUCUAACGAGACUGCCUAGGUUAACUAGGAGGAAGGUGAGGAUGACGUCAAGUCCGCAUGGCCUUUAUGUCCAGGGCUACACACGUGCUACAAUGGUCGGUACAGAAGGCAGCAAAACCGCGAGGUGAAGCAAAUCCUAUAAAACCGAUCUCAGUUCAGAUUGCAGUCUGCAACUCGGCUGCAUGAAGUUGGAAUUGCUAGUAAUGGCGAGUCAGCAAUAUCGCCGUGAAUA